rnacentral:rRNA from 1 species
UGCGUUGUCCGGAAUUAUUGGGCGUAAAGCGCGCGCAGGUGGUUCCUUAAGUCUGAUGUGAAAGCCCACGGCUCAACCGUGGAGGGUCAUUGGAAACUGGGGAACUUGAGUGCAGAAGAGGAAAGUUGAAUUCCCCCUUUAUCGCGGAGAUGCUGCGUAAAAGUUGUGGACGACCACUCGGUGGCGCAACGCGCAUUGUCUGUAUCUGACACUGAGGCGCGAAAGCGUGGGGAGCGAACAAGAUUACAUAGCCUGGAUUAUCCACGCCGUUCCCCACCAGUGCUCGAUGAGUGCAUGUGUGCUUAGAUGGUUCCUGCCUUUAGUGCUGCAGCAAACGCAUUAAGCACUCCGCCUGGGGAGUACGGCCGCAAGGCUGAAACUCAAAGGAAUUGACGGGGGCCCGCACAAGCGGUGGAGCAUGUGGUUUAAUUCGAAGCAACGCGAAGAACCUUACCAGGUCUUGACAUCCUCUGAUACUCCUAGAGAUAGGACGUUCCCCUUCGGGGGACAGAGUGACAGGUGGUGCAUGGUUGUCGUCAGCUCGUGUCGUGAGAUGUUGGGUUAAGUCC